rnacentral:rRNA from 1 species
AUUGAACGCUGGCGGCAUGCCUUACACAUGCAAGUCGAACGGCAGCACGGGAGCAAUCCUGGUGGCGAGUGGCGAACGGGUGAGUAAUAUAUCGGAACGUGCCCAGUCGUGGGGGAUAACGUAGCGAAAGCUACGCUAAUACCGCAUACGAUCUACGGAUGAAAGCGGGGGAUCGCAAGACCUCGCGCGAUUGGAGCGGCCGAUAUCAGAUUAGCUAGUUGGUGGGGUAAAAGCUCACCAAGGCGACGAUCUGUAGCUGGUCUGAGAGGACGACCAGCCACACUGGAACUGAGACACGGUCCAGACUCCUACGGGAGGCAGCAGUGGGGAAUUUUGGACAAUGGGCGCAAGCCUGAUCCAGCAAUGCCGCGUGCAGGGAUGAAGGCCUUCGGUUGUAACUAGCUUUGUACGAACGAAACGGUAGAGCUCUAAUAAAGACUUGCUAAUGACGGUACCGUAAGGAAUAAAGACACCGGCUAACUAACGUACG